AUUGAACGCUGGCGGCAGGCCUAACACAUGCAAGUCGAACGAGUGGCGGACGGGUGAGUAAUGUAUGGGAACGUGCCUAAUAGAGGGGGAUAACUACUCGAAAGAGUGGCUAAUACCGCAUACUAUCGGAGCGGCCGAUAUGGGAUUAGCUAGUGGGUGGGGUAAAGGCUCACCUAGGCGACGAUCCCUAGCUGGUCUGAGAGGAUGACCAGCCACACGGGGACUGAGACACGGCCCAGACUCCUACGGGAGGCAGCAGUGGGGAAUAUUGGACAAUGGGCGAAAGCCUGAUGCAGCCAUGCCGCGUGUAUGAAGAAGGCCUUCGGGUUGUAAAGUACUUUCAGCGGGGAGGCGGUAUCUGCAGAAGAAGCACCGGCUAACUACGUGCCAGCAGCCGCGGUAAUAC
rnacentral:rRNA from 1 species